UGCAGUGAGGAAGCCAGCAUGGGUCCGGGGAAGCAGCAAACAGGACUGUGAAGCAGCUUGGCUCCAGGGGCAUGGAGAAGGCAUUACAGCACUUUCAAAGGGCACAAGGUCACCUAGAACCAGGAUGUUCUCGUCCACUGAACACAAGGGAUGGCAGUAAUGCUGAUCCCAGGGGUUGAGCUGGGUCAAAUGAGUGUGUUCAUCUGUUGAAUGGACACACUGGCUAAAAAUCUGGAGGUACCCCUAGAGGAGGAGAAAACAGAAGGCUCUUCCACUACAUUGACCUACCUGAGCAUUGAGCUGGAUACCAGGGAGGGCGAAUCUCGGCUUCCUCAGGAUAAGCUUCAGGAGCUAUUGGGGUUGCUUCAGAGAGCACUGGGGGCUAAAAAAAAAAACAUCACGCUGCAGGAACUGCGAUCUAUUUUGGGGCACCUGAACUUUGCUUGCAGGUUUGUUGCCCUGGGGUGGGCAUUUUGUGCCUGGCUGGCAGUGGCAACAGCAGGCAUAGCCAGGCCACACCAUUACCUACAAGUCACUAGAGAGAUAAAGGAAGACUUGGGGGUGUGGGAAAGAUUUCUGAGUCCAUUUAAUGGGGUAUCAUUGUGGAGGGAGGAAUGGUUAUUACAAAGGGGGUUAAAAAUCCACUCAGAUGUGGCAAGGGGUACAGGUGUUUGGGGUAUUUUAUCAAGGCAAAUGGUGUGCACAAAAAUGGCCCACAGCCUGGAAACAAAACGGGGUUGUGUGUGACAUGACCUUCUUGGAAUUUUUCCCCAUUUUAGUUGCGGUGGUGAUUCAGGGAUCUGAGCUGGCUAAUAAAAGGGUGUGCUUCUGGUGCGACAACACGGCAGUGGUGCAGGUUAUCAAUCACCAAACUUCCAGAUCACACAGGGUUAUGAAGUUGGUAAGGGCGUUUGUUUUACAAUGUCCUUACCAACUUCUGUUUUUCUUCAACAUCUGUUUUUCUUCAAAGCAUGAGCUGGGCAUGGAUAAAGGCAUAGCAGAUGCCUUGUCUCAUUUCCAGUUUGACAGAUUUCAUAAGCUUGCACCAGGGGCUAGCAGUGAACCCAAGCAGAUGCCACAGAGGCUCUCUAGAACCUCCGAAUGUCAUGUGGUUGGCGAAGUGCAGAUUUUUGGCUUCAGCUUACAAGUUGUUUAUUUUGUUUUCUUUUAAGAAGUCUUGUCAAUUCAAGGAUCCAGAGAAUGGGUAGCCUAUACAGCCCUCCGUGGAGGGCGGUUGUUGCAGUACCGAGUCAAGGACAAUGCAGCUGCUGGUGCCCCUUGAUGAUCACACAUGGGACAAUGGGUUAUUUUUCCCCAGUAGGGCUGCUAGACAACAGGCCAUUUGGAGAUAUCUGUGAACCUGGCAUGGUUGUGGGGAGGCAGCCAAGUAAAUUGCUGGUGCCUCCUUGUGGCUGAUGUUCAGUCCAGAGGGAGGGCAGCCAUUGAGCAGAUAAAUGAUCUGGUAAAAGACUUAAAAGAGGUACUGGAUAA